GCUCAACCGAGGAAGUGCUUCGAAAACUGGUAAACUUGAGUGCAGAAGAGGAAAGUGGAACUCCAUGUGUAGCGGUGGAAUGCGUAGAUAUAUGGAAGAACACCAGUGGCGAAGGCGGCUUUCUGGUCUGUAACUGACGCUGAGAUUCGAAAGCAUGGGUAGCAAACAGGAUUAGAUACCCUGGUAGUCCAUGCCGUAAACGAUGAGUGCUAAGUGUUGGAGGGUUUCCGCCCUUCAGUGCUGCAACUAACGCAUUAAGCACUCCGCCUGGGGAGUACGAUCGCAAGAUUGAAACUCAAAGGAAUUGACGGGGGCCCGCACAAGCGGUGGAGCAUGUGGUUUAAUUCGAAGCAACGCGAAGAACCUUACCAGGUCUUGACAUACCAUGAAAAGCUAAGAGAUUAGUCUUUCCCUUCGGGGACAUGGAUACAGGUGGUGCAUGGUUGUCGUCAGCUCGUGUCGUGAGAUGUUGGGUUAAGUCCCGCAACGAGCGCAACCCUUAUUAUCAGUUGCCAGCAUUCAGUUGGGCACUCUGGUGAGACUGCCGGUGACAAACCGGAGGAAGGUGGGGACGACGUCAAAUCAUCAUGCCCCUUAUGACCUGCGCUACACACGUGCUACAAUGGUCGGUACAACG
rnacentral:rRNA from 1 species